rnacentral:rRNA from 1 species
AUGCUAUUAUAUUACCCCUUUUGGAUGUUUAUGAGCUUUAUUUUACACAUUUAUAUCAUUUUUGGGACAAACCUACUAACCGGAGGCCCAGCCCGUAUUGCUUUUUUGUGCCUAUUUCAGUAUUUUGAAGAAAAGGAAUAUCAAACGGAAUCCAAACGGAAUGAAACCUUCGGGAGCGUGAUUUUUGGAACGAACGUGAUCCGAAGAACUUGGAGUGCAAGUCAAGAAGCUUGCGAGGCGGCCAGGAGACAGGAGGGCGCGCCCACCCCCUCUAGGCGCGCCCCUAUCUCCUGGGCCUCACAGGCAGCCAGCGACGUACUUAUUCCUCCUAUAUAUACCCACGUACCCCGAAAACAUCCAGGGAGCCAACAAAAAACAAUUUCCACCGCCGUAACCUUCUGUAUCCGCGAGAUCCCAUCUUGGAGCCUUCACCGGCGCUCCUCCGGAGGGGGAAUCAACCAUGGAGGGCUUCUACAUCAACACCAUAGCCCCUCCGAUGAGUUGUGA